GACGAACGCUGGCGGCGUGCUUAACACAUGCAAGUCGAACGGAAAGGCCCUGCUUUUGUGGGGUGCUCGAGUGGCGAACGGGUGUGUAACACGUGAGUAACCUGCCCUUGACUUUGGGAUAACUUCAUGAAACUUGGGCUAAUACCUGAUAGGAUCUCCUGCUGCUUGGUGUUGGUUGGAAAGUUUCGGCGGUUGGGGAUGGACUCGCUGCUUAUCAGCUUGUUGGUGGGGUAGUGGCUUACCAAGGCUUUGACGGGUAGCCGGCCUGAGAGGGUGACCGGCAACAUGGGGACGGAGAUACGGCCCAGACUGCAACGGGAGGCAGCAGUGGGGAAUAUUGCACAAUGGGCGGAAGCCUGAUGCAGAAACGCAGGGUGCGGGAUGACGGCCUUCGGGUUGUAAACAGCUUUGGCAUGUGACGAAGAGUGAGUGGCGGUAAUGGGUAAAGAAGCACCGGCUAACUACGUG
rnacentral:rRNA from 1 species